UCUUAAAGCGUAUUUAUGAAUUAUGUAUUCUCCUCAAGAGCUUGAUCUUUACAAUCCUCAAUCCUAUUAUUAAGCAUACAAUAGAUAGUCUUCAAAUCAAGAAAAAAUUGCAAAGCAGUCCCUUGCGUCAAUUUUUCUACGUAGCGAUGAUGGACUUGGCGAACUACGUCCUGUCACUGAUCUUUCGGCUCUCGAUGCUUCACGUUCAGCUGUCACUCUUAUCAGUCAGACAUGCCAAAAUGGAUAAGCACUAAUGUUCUUGUGAUCAAUAUUCUUGAUUUUUACCAACCGACAAGCCGAGUGUCUGUCUUAGUUUCUAUGUAAACUUUUUUCAAUUUCAUGCUUAUUGAAUUUUUGCAUCAGCUUACCUAUUACAGGUAUGUAUAUGCCAUAGAAAUAAUAGGUCGAAAAUUAAAUUUUGAGUGAGCGACUUUUGUUUUUCCCUCGAUGUUCUUAACAAACUUGGCAUUUACUUGUUACAACAUGCUUCUUGCAUGUCUUUCUUAACUUCGAAAAUUUUUUCCCAUAGAAACGAUAGCUCGUAGAUAAAAUACGAGUAUGAUAAACUAGCUUGGAUCUUCAAAAUAUCUUGACCGAUUUGAAUUUAAAGGUCUCACCAUGCUUCAUAUAUAUAUGUAAAACAGCAAUCUUAUAAACAUGGUUAAAAAUUAAUUUUUGCAUUGAAGAAAGUAAUGCCUUAAGACUUCACCAAAUUGUAUUUUCUAAACUAUCUAAAUUAACUAUAAAACAUUUGUAUAAAAGCGGUUCUGCUAUAUAAAAGUAUAAAGUAUAAGUACACAUUUAUAUACUAUAUUUUACUUUUGGAUACAUACAAACGGUUGCCCAAAAAGAUACGUGUGUAUGUGUACCUUUUUGUUCAUGUUAUGCACAUAAAGAAAAAAUUUACAAAUGAACUUAGAGUAUUUCCUAGUCUGUUGUAUUUAUUUUGUAUUUAUUAUACACCGCACCCAUUGAAAUUGUAUAAAUUAUGUUGUGUGCAAAUAUUUUGAACAGGCAGCGGGUAACAGAUCCGACCCUACAAACUUUUUAAUUAUGAGAAUAUUAUAUAUUUAGGACGAAGCGAUAAAGUUCUGCUUUCUUAUUCAAAUUAAAUCAAAAUCAAUUAAGUUCAAAAAUAUUCUAAAAGCGCAGCUAGCCCUUUCACUUGUAUUAGUCUAACCGAAUUAUAUUUCGGACAACCAGCGCGCGCAUGGGGAGCUCUGAGAACAAUGCUAAUGCUAGGCUAAGACAAUGCGGUUAUUUGUUUUCAUUCGUCAAGAUUGAACAUCCUUUGAUAGUGGACGAAGAUGUUAACAACCCCCUCGCUACAAUGAAAGCCGUGCUUUAUAUUUACGGAAGUCAAUUACAAUCCGUAGGAAAAGUCUGUCAUGAAUUUUAACUAUAUUUUAAUUAUCUUCAAUUGCCGAUAUGGACCUCCUUCCCCUACUGGAACUGCUUCAUACAUGGACUUUAGUUUAUUAUCUAGAAUUUAAUUUGUAUUCCAAUGUGUUACAUCCUUGAAAAGUUCUGUUACGUCCUAUCAUGUUUUGUCUUUAAAUCUUUAUUUUAUCCCUUUAUUUGUUUUGAAUUCGAGUGUGAACAUGUGUAUAACGUCAACUGGUCCUUUACUUAUGACGUUUCAGUUCGCUAAUACUUCGUUUACGAGGCGUUUUAUUUUUGGCGAAAAGAGUCUUUAAUUUGCCCUCUACGACAACCACCAACUCUUCCACGAAGACAUUUGACAGGCGAUGUUGCCACGUGGUCCGCGCUUGGAGUCCGAGAACACACUCCUUUGAACAUCACCAGAACUAUUGCUCGAGCGAUGAAAAAGUUCGCCAUCGAUUCAAGAAGGACCCUGCUAGUCCGGGUCGCCUUUGCCGCCAGAUCCCUUAAUAGGCCUUCCACCAAUAGGUGGCCUGGCAUUAAAGCCUCGCCGACGCUUGGAAUAAGUGCUUUCCAGUCUUCACACCUGCCUCCCCACAAAGUGCGGAGCUAUUGGCGGUGUGGACGCAUUCGCUUUUUGAUGAGAAAUGGCGAGUUGUGCGUUCGCCGUUUUUUUCGAUUCGAAUUCUUAACUCCCGAAACUAGAAACAUGAUCUAACAACGUUCCUUGCAUUGUCGCAAUGGACUGUCUGUGGGACUCAACGGCCGACGAACCUUUGAAAUGUCUUUAAAAACGUAUUAGUGGAUAAGUCAGAUACAAGUUCCAAGUGAACCGCCUUGGAGGCGAAGCAAAGGUUUUCAAGUUGUAAUGGUCGAUUUUUACAUUUUUCAAUAAAGCGAAACCCAUAAACAAAAACUCUCAGCAGCCUAUCGAAGAAAAACUAUCGAUCCUUUCCAAUAUAUCUGGUCGGUGUAGCAUAGCUGCUGGUCCCACAGUAUAUAUUUGCGUGUAUCUAAGGUACGCAUCUCAUCUGGUAUCAGAUAUUUACUAGCCAGGAUUUUCGUGGGUCCUUAAAAAAUAAAGGCCAUUAAACCAAAUCGGUGCAGAAGAAUAUAAUCAACAUCGCAGGUUCUAGAAACGAUAUCUGCUGGGCUUUGCUUUAUAGGUACAUGGCGCCAUUCAGCUUUCUUGAUUUCAGCCACUCAAUUCUACUCAAAUAUCUUAGAUUCAUAUGUCAACAACAACUAUAGCUGCGUACAUAUAGACUCAUCCAGGUCUUACUUGUGAAGUCAGAGCUUUUGGAGUCAAAUAGCUGCAAUCUCACCGAGAUAAUAUUCCGUUUUGUCGCUCUGGGGCCCAUGAAUAAAUCGUCUAUCCUCAUUUGGAAAGCAUCUUCAUUUGAUAACCACAACACGGCAAGUGUUUUAGUUGUGUCAGACUCUUAGAAUUUUAUCGGCUAGCAUUCAGGAAAAUUCGAAAACCAUUUGGUUAGUUCAAACUCGAUAACGUCUGCAGCUUCAGGGUGUGAUGGCUCGCUCGUAUCACUAACACUAACACCGUACUGGCAAAGCAGGCGCAGUACCGUCCGUUGUAGUGUUUAGCCUGAAGGAUUUCAUAGAGACAGAUGGGAAAUUUUAGUCUACUUCAUACACCAUAACCUGCCCAUACAUCUUUUUGAUGUCAGCUCUCAUCGCAUAUUUGUAGUCUAUAUUAAAGUCAAUGUCCCACAUGACGCGUCGAAAACAACGCAUAACUUCGUCUAUGUGCUUUGUGGUUUUAAAACGCACUGAUGCGGAAUAACCUAGUGUGUCAUGCGACAAAAAAGACGUAUAUCUCGAAGGAGUUACCAAGCUGAUUGGGAUGUUGUUUAAAUAGUUGUCUUUCUUUGAACAGCAAUAUUUCUAAAUUAUUUAGAAAGUCGCACAUUAUUGCGCUUCAACCGUUCAAGCUGUUUUCGGUGACUAAAACUUUUGUCAUGAUUUGAAGGUAUGCGUGAGCUAAUUUUUCUGCACCGAUCAGCUUUUCCCAUUGCAGAUAGUUUUUGACUUUGUGUUCAACGGGAUAGCGCCGGUGUCGACAUAAAAAAAAGGGCAAUUAAAUAAUUUAAUAAAACCAAAUAAAGAAUACUGAAAGUAUUUCGCCACAAAUAUUUACGCUGAGUGUUCCAGACUGGCCGACAGUAUUAUUCACAUCCAAGGAGCACGCAAGCCUGCCCUAUUCCCUGCCAAGCAAAUAAUCUUAAAUAUUUAAUAUAAACAUGAAUAAUGAAGAAUGUGCGGGUACGCCUAAAAA